rnacentral:rRNA from 1 species
GUGGACGCGGUGGCGGGAGGCGGUGGGAGCGGGAGGGUGCGGGAGGUGUCCGGAAUCAGUGGGCGGAGAGGGGGGGGAGGUGGCCCGUUAAGUGGCUGGUGAAAUCCCGCUGCUCAGCUGCGGGGCUGCCGGUCAUACUGGCGAGCUAGAGAACGGUAGGGGCAGAUGGAAUGCCCGGUGUAGCGGUGGAAUGCGUAGAGAUCGGGAAGAAUACCAGUGGCGAAGGCGUUCUGCUGGGCCGUUGCUGACACUGAGGCGCGACAGCGUGGGUAGCAAACAGGAUUAGAUACCCGAGUAGUC